rnacentral:rRNA from 1 species
UACGGGGGGGGGCAAGCGUUGUUCGGAAUUACUGGGCGUAAAGGGCGCGUAGGCGGCCUGCUAAGUCGGAUGUGAAAUCCCUCGGCUCAACCGGGGAACUGCAUCCGAUACUGGCGGGCUUGAAUCCGGGAGAGGGAUGUGGAAUUCCAGGUGUAGCGGUGAAAUGCGUAGAUAUCUGGAGGAACACCGGUGGCGAAGGCGGCAUCCUGGACCGGUAUUGACGCUGAGGCGCGAAAGCUAGGGGAGCAAACGGGG